GCCUUCAUAGCGUAACGGUAGCACACUCGGCGGGUAUUCGAGAGAUCCAGGUUCAAGUCCCGACGAGGGCA
rnacentral:tRNA from 1 species